GACGUAGGGCGCGAGCGUUGUCCGGAUUUAUUGGGCGUAAAGAGCUCGUAGGCGGCUUGUUGCGUCGUCCGUGAAAACCUGGGGCUCAACUCCAGGCUUGCGGUCGAUACGGGCAGGCUAGAGUUCGGUAGGGGAGACUGGAAUUCCUGGUGUAGCGGUGAAAUGCGCAGAUAUCAAGAGGAACACCUGAGGUGAAGACGGGUUGCUGGGCUGACACUGACGCUGAGGCGCGAAAGCCAGGGGAGCAAACGGG
rnacentral:rRNA from 1 species